CUUCCCCCUCUCCUCCCCCAUCUGCAWUCGAGCGAUGAUUAAAGUUGCUCUUAUGAAGUUAGCGGCGGACGGGUGAUACCACGUGGGUAACCUGCCCAUAAGACUGGGAUAACUCCGGGAAACCGGGGCUAAUACCGGAUAACAUUUUGAACCGCAUGGUUCGAAAUUGAAAGGCGGCUUCGGCUGUCACUUAUGGAUGGACCCGCGUCGCAUUAGCUAGUUGGUGAGGUAACGGCUCACCAAGGCAACGAUGCGUAGCCGACCUGAGAGGGUGAUCGGCCACACUGGGACUGAGACACGGCCCAGACUCCUACGGGAGGCAGCAGUAGGGAAUCUUCCGCAAUGGACGAAAGUCUGACGGAGCAACGCCGCGUGAGUGAUGAAGGUUUUCGGGUCGUAAAAACUCUGUUGUUAGG
rnacentral:rRNA from 1 species